rnacentral:tRNA from 1 species
AAAAAGGUAAGCUAAAUAAGCUAGUAGACUCAUAAUCUAUUUAUAGAACUAAUCUCCUUUUUA